UGGAUGGAAACCUUCCUGUUAAUGAAGUACAACCCAGGAGAGUGGAAAAUGAGAUCAUUCUGAAGGGGCAAGGCUGACUGCCAUCAGCUUAUGUGCCACCUGUGACUUUCUGCUUCCAGAGCCUCCUGGGGGCUUUCUGGGAACACAAGUGAUGCCUCUUGAACUCCACUCCUUGUGUAGACAGCCUCUUUUGUGGGUGAGGUUGAAAGAAUUACAGAGAACAUAUUUGGCUGAAGUAACUAAUGCGUGAAAUAUGAAGUUCCUAAAAGAUUAUUAUUAUUAUUAUUAUUAUUUUGUGGGGGCUGACAGUCUGAGUUCUCGGCUGACGAACAUUGAAAUGAUCUAAACUGAAGAUACAAUCUAUUGCAUGGAAGACCACCUUUUAUAAGAAACCAACAACAGUAAAGAAAUGGAGAAAAGAAGACCUCUUACAGUCUAUAAAUAGAUUGAAGAGUUGGCUACAGUGGGAGACUUAGAGCAACCAAAGGAUGGGAGGAAGGCUCUGGGCACCUCCAGGGCAGAAGGUGAAGAAGCUGCUAAGGAGAAGAGGAACCAAAUAAGACAAGCAAGAAGGAUGAAUAAAGGAUGCUGGGAAAAAGAGAUGCUGAAAACAGAGGUCUAAGGCUGCUUGAGGUAAAUAGGAAGCAUGUUAUUUUGUUAUGAGGGUAGACACACACAGACUGCUCAGGAGAAACAAGAUCUGCUCAUCUCAGGGGGCUGAGACCUUGGGGGCUUCCUUUCUCAUGGUGAAGCAGCUCUGACCUAUAUGAAACAGAAUGACUGACUCCAGGCAGGCUUCCAAGAUACACACCUUUCUGCUACUUUGUGUAUCCAUUGAACUUCUCAUAACUUUGAUUAUUGGCUAAAUGGGGUUGAAUCUCAAUGAAGUCAUUAUUGGCAGGCCUCACACAUACUUGUCUCUCUUUAACCUUCCCCAAAUAGUUUUUUGGCACAUGAGCCCUUUAUUGCUUCAUCUUUAAAUUCCUUGUGAAGGCAAUUAAGAAGGAUCUGUAAUUUUGCUAAAUUGGUAGCAUUAUUCUGUCCAUACCAGAAUUCUAAAAAUAAAAAUUACAUCUAGUCAUAGAGAAAAAAAUCCCUAAGCACACUUCAUUAUUUGUUAAUUGGAUUUAAUGGCUAUUUUUACUUGAUUUGAGAUUAUAGGUCCAGAGCUAAAACGAACCUUUGAGGCCAUCUAAUUGAGUCCCUUUAUUUUGUAGAUUAGGAAACUGAGGGUCACUGAGGUUGAAUCAUUUUUCCAAGGCCAAACAAUUAGUAUUAGAGACAGAAUUUGAACCCAGGUCUCAUGACUCUAAAGUCAUUGUUUUUUUCCCCACUGUCCUCUGCUUCUUCCUCCAACAAAUGAGAUGGCACAUGUAUUUAUUAACAUAUAUAUAAUUAUA